rnacentral:rRNA from 1 species
UACGUAGGGACCAAGCGUUGUUCGGAUUUACUGGGCGUAAAGAGCGUGUAGGCGGCUCGGUAAGUCCGCUGUGAAAGUCCAGGGCUCAACCCUGGAAUGCCAGUGGAAACUGUCGAGCUAGAGUCCGGAAGAGGCGAGUGGAAUUCCUGGUGUAGCGGUGAAAUGCGCAGAUAUCAGGAGGAACACCAAUGGCGAAGGCAGCUCGCUGGGACGGUACUGACGCUGAGACGCGAAAGCGUGGGGAGCAAACAGG